GACGAACGCUGGCGGCGUGCUUAACACAUGCAAGUCGAACGGUAAGGCCCCUUCGGGGGUACACGAGUGGCGAACGGGUGAGUAACACGUGAGCAACCUGCCCUUGACUCUGGAAUAACAGUUGGAAACAGCUGCUAAUACUGGAUAUUCAUCGUCUCCUUCCUGGGGGGUGGUGGAAAGCUCCGGCGGUCAGGGAUGGGCUCGCGGCCUAUCAGCUUGUUGGUGAGGUAAUGGCUCACCAAGGCUUCGACGGGUAGCCGGCCUGAGAGGGCGACCGGCCACACUGGGACUGAGAUACGGCCCAGACUCCUACGGGAGGCAGCAGUGGGGAAUAUUGCACAAUGGGCGCAAGCCUGAUGCAGCAACGCCGCGUGCGGGAUGACGGCCUUCGGGUCGUAAACCGCUUUCAGUAGGGACGAAGGGUGACUGACGGUACCUACAGAAGAAGGACCGGCUAACUACGUG
rnacentral:rRNA from 1 species